ensembl:snoRNA SNORA72 Small nucleolar RNA SNORA72
UUGAGAAUAUUCUCGCUGCUCUGACUUUGUAAUAAUUAGGACAGACUAAACAUUCGCUAUAUUAAGACCAUACAUGUAUCCCCAGGCCUAGUUCUUUCCCUGUGUUUGGUUUUAUAAAUGUUCCUGAUAAAA